rnacentral:rRNA from 1 species
AGUAAAUAGAUACCCAGGUAGUCCACGCUGUAAACGAUGAGUGCUGGACGUUGGCGGGUUUACCUGCCGGUGUCGCAGCUAAACGCGUUAAGCACUCCGCCUGGGGAGUACGGCCGCAAGGUUAAAACUCAAAGGAAUUGACGGGGGCCCGCACAAGCGGUGGAGCAUGUGGUUUAAUUCGACGCAACGCGCAGAACCUUACCAGCCCUUGACAUGGGCGGACGGGGUCCAGAGAUGGACUCUUUCUCGCAAGAGACCGCUACACAGGUGCUGCAUGGCUGUCGUCAGCUCGUGUCGUGAGAU